rnacentral:rRNA from 1 species
AACGUAGGACGCAAGCGUUAUCCGGAAUUACUGGGCGUAAAGGGCGUGCAGGCGGCCGGGUAAGUCCGUCGUGAAAGCCCCCGGCUAAACUGGGGGAGGUCGAUGGAGACUGCCGGGCUAGAGGCUGGUAGAGGGGCAUAGAAUUCCGGGUGUAGUGGUGAAAUGCGUAGAGAUCCGGAGGAAUACCAGAGGCGAAGGAGGUGCCCGGGGCCAGGAAUGACGAUAAGACGCGACAGCAUGGGGAGCGAACGGG